UCUUAGCUUGCUAAGGCCGAUGGCGACCGGCGCACAGGUGAGUAACACGUAUCCAACCUGCCGUCUACUCUUGGGCAGCCUUCUGAAAGGAAGAUUACUACAAGAUGGCAUCAUGAGUUCACAUGUUCACAUGAUUAAAGGUAUUCCGGUAGACGAUGGGGAUGCGUUCCAUUAGAUAGUAGGCGGGGUAACGGCCCACCUAGUCUUCGAUGGAUAGGGGUUCUGAGAGGAAGGUCCCCCACAUUGGAACUGAGACACGGUCCAAACUCCUACGGGAGGCAGCAGUGAGGAAUAUUGGUCAAUGGGCGCAGGCCUGAACCAGCCAAGUAGCGUGAAGGAUGACUGCCCUAUGGGUUGUAAACUUCUUUUAUAAAGGAAUAAAGUCGGGUAUGUAUACCCGUUUGCAUGUACUUUAUGAAUAAGGAUCGGCUAACUCCGUGCCAGCAGCCGCGGUAAUACGGAGGAUCCGAGCGUUAUCCGGAUUUAUUGGGUUUAAAGGGAGCGUAGAUGGAUGUUUAAGUCAGUUGUGAAAGUUUGCGGCUCAACCGUAAAAUUGCAGUUGAUACUGGAUAUCUUGAGUGCAGUUGAGGCAGGCGGAAUUCGUGGUGUAGCGGUGAAAUGCUUAGAUAUCACGAAGAACUCCGAUUG
rnacentral:rRNA from 1 species